rnacentral:rRNA from 1 species
UACGUAGGGGGCAAGCGUUGUCCGGAUUCAUUGGGCGUAAAGAGCUCGUAGGCGGCUUAGUAAGUCGGGUGUGAAACCUCCAGGCUCAACCUGGAGACGCCACCCGAUACUGCUGUGGCUAGAGUCCGGUAGGGGAGCGUGGAAUUCCUGGUGUAGCGGUGAAAUGCGCAGAUAUCAGGAGGAACACCAGCGGCGAAGGCGGCGCUCUGGGCCGGUACUGACGCUGAGGAGCGAAAGCGUGGGGAGCAAACAGG